rnacentral:rRNA from 1 species
GUACAAUAUCAUACCACCCUGUAUGCACCGGAUUUCCUGUGAUCCAGGAAGCUAAGCAAGGUCCAGCCUAGUUAGUACUCAGACAGAAGAACCCCCUGGUCCAGGAAGAGGCAGAACUAGAGCAAGUCAUGAGGUAUU